rnacentral:rRNA from 1 species
ACGGCAGCACAGAGAAGCUUGCUUCUUGGGUGGCGAGUGGCGAACGGGUGAGUAACAUAUCGGAACGUACCGAGUAGUGGGGGAUAACUGAUCGAAAGAUCAGCUAAUACCGCAUACGUCUUGAGAGAGAAAGCAGGGGACUUUCGGGCCUUGCGCUAUUCGAGCGGCCGAUAUCUGAUUAGCUAGUUGGUGGGGUAAAGGCCUACCAAGGCGACGAUCAGUAGCGGGUCUGAGAGGAUGAUCCGCCACACUGGGACUGAGACACGGCC